CGGCGUGGAUAAGACAUGCAAGUCGAACGGAAGAUUUUUGGAGCUUGCUUUGAAAAUCUUUAGUGGCGAACGGGUGAGUAACACGUGAGCAACCUGCCCAAAAGAGGGGGAUAGCCUUCCGAAAGGAAGAUUAAUACCGCGUUAGGUCCCUCAGGACAUCCUGAGGAGAUUAAAGGUGGCCUUUGUGCUGCCGCUUUUGGAUGGGCUCGCGGCCUAUCAGCUUGUUGGUGAGGUAAUGGCUCACCAAGGCGAUGACGGGUACCUGGUCUGAGAGGACGAUCAGGCACACUGGAACUGAGACACGGUCCAGACACCUACGGGUGGCAGCAGUCGAGAAUCAUUCGCAAUGGGCGAAAGCCUGACGGUGCGACGCCGCGUGGAGGAUGAAGGCCCUAGGGUCGUAAACUCCUGUCAUCAGAGAGUAAUGCUUCAUGGAGUAACUGCCAUGAAGAGUGAUAGUAUCUGAAGAGGAAGGGACGGCUAACUUCGUG
rnacentral:rRNA from 1 species